GGAGAUAUAGCUCAGUCAGUAGAGUACUUGCCUCAUAUGCACAAGGCUCUGGGUUCAAUUCCCAGCACCACCC
rfam:Ictidomys tridecemlineatus contig063934, whole genome shotgun sequence.